rnacentral:rRNA from 1 species
UACGUAGGGUGCAAGCGUUGUCCGGAAUUAUUGGGCGUAAAGAGCUCGUAGGCGGUCUGUCGCGUCGGCUGUGAAAACCCGGAGCUCAACUCCGGGCCUGCAGUCGAUACGGGCAGACUGGAGUUCGGCAGGGGAGACUGGAAUUCCUGGUGUAGCGGUGAAAUGCGCAGAUAUCAGGAGGAACACCCGGUGGCGAAGGCGGGUCUCUGGGCCGAUACUGACGCUGAGGAGCGAAAGCGUGGGGAGCGAACAGG